rnacentral:rRNA from 1 species
GUUGAACGCUGGCGGUAUGCUUAACACAUGCAAGUCGAACGGUACCUUCGGGCAUAGUGGCGGACGGGUGAGUAACGCGUGAGAAUCCAUCUUCAGGUCGGGGACAACAGGUAGAAAUGACUCCUAAUACCGGAUGUUCCGAAAGGUAAAAGAUUUAUUGCCUGAAAAAGAGCUCGCGUCACAUUCGCUAGUAGGUGGUGUAAGAGACUACCUAGGCUUCGAUCUGUAGCUGGGCUGAGAGGACGAUCAGCCACACUGGAACUGAGACACGGUCCAGACUCCUACGGAAGGGGGGAGAGGCGAAUUUUCCGCAACGGGGGGAAGCCUGACGGAGCAAUGCCGCGUAAGGGACGAAGGCUGUUGAGAAGCAAACCUCUUUUAUCAAGGAAGAUUCAGACGGUACUUGAGGAAUAAGCAUCGGCUAACUCUGUG